rnacentral:sRNA from 1 species
GAUUCACCUACACAUACGGUGGCGCAGACUCCGGGGAUUAGAGCAUUUCAGCCGUUGGCCCGAGCGGUUCGGUCAUCCCUCCGCCGUAAGACCACCGGGAUCGCUUAUCUGGUUUCACGCCGUCUCUUUAGGUUACAAUCUCUAUGACCUUCAAAUUUUAACUCAACGAAACAAAACUGUUCAA